rnacentral:lncRNA from 1 species
GCUGAGUUUACCUGUCUAUGUCUUCUUGUCGCAGUUCCUGUCUUGGUCCUACCUGCGUUCCCUGCCACAAUGCUUGCAAUCUGGCUGAGUUUACCUGUCUGUGUCUUCCUGUUGCAGUUCCUAUCUUGGUCCUACCUGCGUCCCUUGCCACAGGUUCCUAUGUUGUUUUACCUGCAUCCCCUAAUGUAGAUUCGGCCUACAUCUCUUAACGGUGCCUGUUUUUUUUCUACCUGCAUCCCCUACCGCAGGUACUUCCGUCCAGCCGUAACAUACUGCCUGCAUUAUCCGAAUUCCCCAACCACAACCUGGAUAUAUCAACCACGACCAUGGGAGACUUAAGUCACUCCUCCACUAAAUUUGGCAAUGCCUUCAUCGCCAGGUACCGCGGAAGUUUAGACCUUAUUUGCCAUAAGUCUACCUUAUUUUCUUACUUUGUACCAUGACAUUCCCGUGUCAUGCUAAGCCUCAAAUCAUCACCUUGUGGUCCAUGACAUGUGGCUAACAUGCUACAACCUAGACCCGAGAUAGACUGCAUUGUGGACUGGCUAGAUCUAAAAGCCGAGCUGGGUUAUAUGAGCUAAAAACCUUAACUAGUUUACAACUCAACUCAAAUCUCCCACACCAGAAUACUUUUCUUGUGAUUAAUUUGCCCUUCUUUCCUUCAUUAAAAAGUUUUGGCUAUCCUAACU